CGUAAAGGGGUGACUGCGGAGGUCAUUACGAGUAACAGGAGAGUUGUAGCUGGCCGCAAGGCAUGUGCACGCUCUCUACUCAAUCCAACCUUACACCUGUGCACCUAUUGUAGGUCGAGUGGCUGGACUUGUUCUGGUCGCUCUUCCUAUGUUUUACACAUACACUUGUAGUCUCAGAAUGUAAUCAGCGUAUAACGCAUUAUAAAACAACUUUCAACAACGGAUCUCUUGGCUCUCGCAUCGAUGAAGAACGCAGCGAAAUGCGAUAAGUAAUGUGAAUUGCAGAAUUCAGUGAAUCAUCGAAUCUUUGAACGCACCUUGUGCUCCUUGGUAUUCCGAGGAGCAUGCCUGUUUGAGUGUCAUGAAUAUCUCAACUCACCCGGUUUUUAUUAACUGUGGUGGGCUUGGACUUGGAGGUAUGCUGGCUGACUAGUCGGCUCCUCUCUAAAUGCAUUAGCUGGACCUGUUAUGGAUCAGUACUCGGUGUGAUAAUUGUCUACGCCGUGUCUGUGAAGUGCUUGAAUGGACUAGCUUCUAACCGUCUUCGGACAACUAUUGACAUUUUGACCUCAAAUCAGGUAGGAUUACCCGCUGAACUUAAGCAUUCAAAAACCGGGAAAGGAACCC
rnacentral:rRNA from 1 species